rnacentral:rRNA from 1 species
GACGGAGGGUGCUAGCGUUGUUCGGAAUCACUGGGCGUAAAGGGCGCGUAGGCGGCAUCGGAUGUCGGAUGUGAAAGCCCGGGGCUCAACCUCGGAGGUGCAUCCGAAACUCCGAAGCUCGAGGCCGGGAGAGGAGAGUGGAAUACCCAGUGUAGAGGUGAAAUUCGUAGAUAUUGGGUGGAACACCGGUGGCGAAAGCGGCUCUCUGGCUCAUUACUGACGCUCAGGCGCGACAGCGUGGGGAUCAAACAGG